AGCGUCUGGAAAGGCGCGCGAUACAGGGUGACAGCCCCGUACACAAAAGCGCAUGUGUUGUGAGCUCGAUGAGUAGGGCGGGACACGUGGUAUCCUGUCUGAAUAUGGGGGGACCAUCCUCCAAGGCUAAAUACUCCUGACUGACCGAUAGUGAACCAGUACCGUGAGGGAAAGGCGAAAAGAACCCCGGCGAGGGGAGUGAAAAAGAACCUGAAACCGUGUACGUACAAGCAGUGGGAGCACAGGUUUACCUGUGUGACUGCGUACCUUUUGUAUAAUGGGUCAGCGACUUAUAUUCUGUAGCAAGGUUAACCGAAUAGGGGAGCCGGAGGGAAACCGAGUCUUAAUUGGGCGUUAAGUUGCAGGGUAUAGACCCGAAACCCGGUGAUCUAGCCAUGGGCAGGUUGAAGGUUGGGUAACACUAACUGGAGGACCGAACCGACUAAUGUUGAAAAAUUAGCGGAUGACCUGUGGCUGGGGGUGAAAGGCCAAUCAAACCGGGAGAUAGCUGGUUCUCCCCGAAAGCUAUUUAGGUAGCGCCUCGUGAAUUCAUCUCCGGGGGUAGAGCACUGUUUCGGCUAGGGGGCCAUCCCGGCUUACCAACCCGAUGCAAACUGCGAAUACCGGAGAAUGUUAUCACGGGAGACACACGGCGGGUGCUAACGUCCGUCGUGAAGAGGGAAACAACCCAGACCGCCAGCUAAGGUCCCAAAGUCAUGGUUAAGUGGGAAACGAUGUGGGAAGGCCCAGACAGCCAGGAUGUUGGCUUAGAAGCAGCCAUCAUUUAAAGAAAGCGUAAUAGCUCACUGGUCGAGUCGGCCUGCGCGGAAGAUGUAACGGGGCUAAACCAUGCACCGAAGCUGCGGCAGCGACGCUUAUGCGUUGUUGGGUAGGGGAGCGUUCUGUAAGCCUGUGAAGGUGUGUCGUGAGGCAUGCUGGAGGUAUCAGAAGUGCGAAUGCUGACAUAAGUAACGAUAAAGCGGGUGAAAAGCCCGCUCGCCGGAAGACCAAGGGUUCCUGUCCAACGUUAAUCGGGGCAGGGUGAGUCGACCCCUAAGGCGAGGCCGAAAGGCGUAGUCGAUGGGAAACGGGUUAAUAUUCCCGUACUUGGUGUUACUGCGAAGGGGGGACGGAGAAGGCUAUGUUGGCCGGGCGACGGUUGUCCCGGUUUAAGCGUGUAGGUGUGUGUUCCAGGUAAAUCCGGUUCACUUUAACACUGAGGCGUGAUGACGAGGCACUACGGUGCUGAAGCAACAAAUGCCCUGCUUCCAGGAAAAGCCUCUAAGCAUCAGGUAACAUCAAAUCGUACCCCAAACCGACACAGGUGGUCAGGUAGAGAAUACCAAGGCGCUUGAGAGAACUCGGGUGAAGGAACUAGGCAAAAUGGUGCCGUAACUUCGGGAGAAGGCACGCUGACACGUAGGUGAAGUGAUUUACUCAUGGAGCUGAAGUCAGUCGAAGAUACCAGCUGGCUGCAACUGUUUAUUAAAAACACAGCACUGUGCAAACACGAAAGUGGACGUAUACGGUGUGACGCCUGCCCGGUGCCGGAAGGUUAAUUGAUGGGGUCAGCGCAAGCGAAGCUCCUGAUCGAAGCCCCGGUAAACGGCGGCCGUAACUAUAACGGUCCUAAGGUAGCGAAAUUCCUUGUCGGGUAAGUUCCGACCUGCACGAAUGGCGUAAUGAUGGCCAGGCUGUCUCCACCCGAGACUCAGUGAAAUUGAACUCGCUGUGAAGAUGCAGUGUACCCGCGGCAAGACGGAAAGACCCCGUGAACCUUUACUAUAGCUUGACACUGAACAUUGAGCCUUGAUGUGUAG
rnacentral:rRNA from 1 species